AACGUAGGUGGCGAGCGUUAUCCGGAAUUACUGGGCGUAAAGCGUGUGCAGGCGGGGGGGCGAGUGGUGUAUGAAAUGUCCCGGCUCAACCGGGAGGGGUUAUGCCAGACUGCAUCUCUUGAGUGCGAGAGAGGAGCGUGGAAUUCCGGGUGUAGUGGUGAAAUGCGUAGAGAUCCGGAGGAACCCCAGAGGCGAAGGCGGCGCUCUGGCUCGCAACUGACGCUCAGACACGACAGCAUGGGGAGCGAACGGG
rnacentral:rRNA from 1 species